GACCAAGUCCUGUGUGGCUAAGACAAGCCCAAUUCCGUCAGGUCCGGAAGGAAGCAGCGGUUAGUUUGCUCUUAGGGUACAUCAGUACUUGGUCUCU
rnacentral:SRP_RNA from 2 species